UUUUUUUUUCCCCCAGAUUGUUGGCGAAGAUCAAGUGUAGUAUCUAUUCUUAUCAGUUUAAUAUCUGAUAUGUCCCCUAUCUGGAAACCUUAUAUUGAAAGGAUUUUUCAGAACAGGGGCUGAUUUUGAAGCUUGCUUCCGUCGCCCUUGGUCGGUUUCUGCAGGUUCAGUGUACCCCACAUAUUGGAAUAUCU